rnacentral:ncRNA from 1 species
UGACCUCGAAUCAGGUAGGGAUACCCGCUGAACUUAAGCAUAUCAAUAAGCGGAGGAAAAGAAACCAACAGGGAUUACCUCAGUAACGGCGAGUGAAGCGGUAACAGCUCAGAUUUGAAAUCUGGUCCGGUUACGGGCCCGAGUUGUAAUUUGUAGAAGAUGCUUUGGUAAUGAGUCCGGCCUAAGUUCCUUGGAACAGGACGUCAUAGAGGGUGAGAACCCCGUAUGCGGCCGAGUACUCAGUGCCAUGUAAAGCUCUUUCGACGAGUCGAGUUGUUUGGGAAUGCAGCUCAAAAUGGGUGGUAAAUUUCAUCUAAAGCUAAAUAUUGGCCAGAGACCGAUAGCGCACAAGUAGAGUGAUCGAAAGAUGAAAAGCACUUUGGAAAGAGAGUUAAACAGUACGUGAAAUUGUUGAAAGGGAAGCGCUUGCAACCAGACUUGGGCACUGUGGAUCAUCCGAGGUUCUCCUCGGUGCACUCGGCAGUGCGCAGGCCAGCAUCAGUUUGGGUGGUUGGAUAAAGACUUGUGGAAUGUAGCUCCUUUCGGGGAGUGUUAUAGCCACAGGUGCCAUGCGACCAACCCGGACUGAGGACCGCGCUUCGGCUAGGAUGCUGGCGUAAUGGUUGUAAGCGACCCGUCUUGAAACACGGACCAAGGAGUCUAACAUCUAUGCGAGUGUUUGGGUGUUAAACCCAUACGCGGAAUGAAAGUGAACGUAGGUGAGAACCUGUAAGGGGGCAUCAUCGACCGAUCCGGAUGUCUUCGGAUGGAUUUGAGUAAGAGCAUAGCUGUUGGGACCCGAAAGAUGGUGAACUAUGCCUGAAUAGGGUGAAGCCAGAGGAAACUCUUGUGGAAGGCUCGCAGCGGGUUCUGACGUGCAAAUCGAUCGUCAAAUUUUGGGUA